rnacentral:lncRNA from 1 species
GAACCUCUGCUUCAAAGGUUUCCUACAUAUCCUUGGCUAUAAAGGAAUCAGGUCAAUGUAGUUCGGGAAUUUUUGGUAGCUGGGACUACCGUGGGACUGUGAUGUUACUGCUGUUUCGUGCUGUUUUUACUGCUUACUGACCUCCUUAUUACACCUUACUUUAAAUGAAAUACAAAAUUAAGCUUGAUUAUGGUACAAGAAUUAUAAAAAUCUUAUCUAGAUCAUGCCCUUGUUUCUUGUUGUCUUGAUAUCUUGGUGAAUCUUGGGCAUUUGGCUUAUUCCGUAUUCCUCUUGGAACUCUUUGUUGUUUCUUGCUGGGGAUUCUGUUGGACUCCUCUGCUUUAUUGAUUCUAAGUGUGCUCCUUUCUCACAUGAGUGGGCUUUUGGUUUCAACACUUCAAUUUCAUUCCAUCGUUCUUCAGGUGGGUGCCUUGACUGCUUCUUUUCUUUCUCAUCCUCAUUCUCCAGGUGGACGCCUGACUUCUUCUUUUCUCAUCCUCAUUCUCCAGGUGGACGCCUGACUUCUUUAAUUCUCAUCCUCAUUCUCCAGGUGGAUGCCUGACUUCUUUAAUUCUCAUCCUCAUGACUUCUUUAAUUCUCAUCCUCAUUCUCCAGGUGGAUGCCUGACUUCUUCAAUUCUUCAUCCUCAUUCUCCAGGUGGACGCCUGACUUCUUCAAUUCUUCAUCCUCAUUCUCCAGGUGGACGCCUGACUUCUUUAAUUUUCAUCCUCAUUCUCCAGGUG